rnacentral:rRNA from 1 species
GACGAACCGUGCGAACGUUGUUCGGAAUCACUGGCUUAAAGGGCGCGUAGGCGGACCACCAAGUCCGGGGUGAAAUCCUUCGGCUUAACCGGAGAAUUGCCUGGGAUACUGGUGGUCUUGAGGGAGGUAGGGGCACGCGGAACUUCCGGUGGAGCGGUGAAAUGCGUUGAUAUCGGAAGGAACGCCGGUGGCGAAAGCGGCGUGCGUGGCCCUCUUC